CUGCGUUUCCUGCAUUUUAUAGAUAAUGGACAAAUGUGUCUAGAACAAUGGAUAUGUGAAAUGUUUUUUCUAUUGGUGAAAAUUCUAAAUUAAAGGAGGAAAUACCCGGAUCAACCUUUCACUUGAUGAAGGCAAGGCAAAAAACUGUAAAUAAACUUUCUGCAAAGCAUGUAAGGUAAACCUGCGUAAGUUUGUUUGCAGAGGGCAAACUAGUUUGGUCAAUUCGUACAUAUGUUAUUGUAAUCUGUUCCUUGAAAUGGGAUUUCAGUUAUUUUUCUAGGGUAAGUAUUCUUUAAACAAUAAUGCAAAAUAGGCAUGCUGGAAAAAGUCCUCAGGCCUUGCUAAUAGGGCAGAAUUUCUGGAUCUUGUAUAAGCACAGGUGGCUUGAUCACGUGUCUAAUUCAUGUAGCACCGGUGGCCAACACAGUUUCCAAAACCCAAUUGCAUACUUAUUCUCGGAGUUAAAAUAGGUCAGUAACGCACAAGUUGCUGCGUGGAAACAAUUAAUAUUCACUUAAUAUAGGAUGUUGGCAAAUUAAAACAAAUUACUCUAUUUCCUUUAAAUACUAAUUUAUCUGUAAGGUUUUCCUACAAUUUACUCCUCUCCUCAAUGAUAAAAUUAAAUACAGAGUGUCAAUCCUGACCUAGUGAACCUUUGUUUUUAACAUUUAAAUGGACUCUAUGUAGGGUAGAGGUGUUAAAAUGUCUCCUUGAGUAGUGUUAAUCCUGCUAGAGAUAUAAAAUUUCUCUAACUUGUAACUAGUUAACUCGAACAGCAAAUAGCGUCUGGAACGUUGUAAUGUUAAAUCCAAUUUACACAUACAGAUUAGGAAUACCUUAACUGCUAGAUUUAGAGGAUGCACACUAUAUGAAAAGUUUAAUAGCUUGCCUGAUGCCCUAAAACUGCAUGUUUACGUUAAAUCAAUGUUAGAUUUGUUGACCGUCUAAAUCAAUCCAUGCCUUCUGCUUCACUUUGCCAGUGACACAAGUCUAAUGCUGCUAGUUUCCUGCUAUUUUUAAACGUUUUAGAAAAUGACAGAACACUUCAGGUAAAUUCAGGCACAGCCAGGGCACCCAUUGCAAAUGGGGAGAAAUAAAAACAUUGUUUAAUUGUGAAUUGUGAAUUGUGAAUACCCCUUCAGCAGCUUACCUUAUUCCAGCGCCAGGCUCCCUCGGCACUGGUGACCUCUCCUCACCCGCUGUCAGCAGAGCCGAAUGCGCAUGCGCAGCAAGUGCCGCUCGCGCAUUCAAAGUGUCCGUAGGAAAUAAUUUCUCAAUGCUUUCCUAUGGACACUGCGCGAUGGAGGCAUAAUAUGCCUCCAGCGUUGCAGAUGCGCCUCUAACCCCAAAUGUAAACAUGGCAGUUUCUUUGAACUGCUAUGUUUGCAUCUGGAGGGUUAAAACCUGAGGGACCUGGCACCCAGACCACUUCAUUGAGCUGAGGUGGUCUGGGUGACUAUAGUGUCCCUUUAAGGAUUUUUUUUUAGUAAAUUUUUCUCAUAAUACAAAUCACAAAUCCCGGAAAGUUACAGUUCCCAUUUUAAAGUGACAGCUUGAGGAACAUUCAUUACAUUAUUCUGAGAUGUAAGCUAAGAGCGAGAAGACCACUAUAUUCAUAUCUCUAAUGUUGUUUAAAAAAAAAAAAAAAAAACUCUCAAUUUAAUAGUUAAAGGAAAAAUAAAUACUGAUUGUUAUGGAGAGACAUUAACCCUGUCCCUUUUAGUAUUAUGCAGAAUGCUGGUUGGCAUGACAACCAUGUCAUAUUGUCUAAUGAGAUUUUUAUUUUAAAUGCACACACUUUAACCUUUUCAGUACCACAGAGGCUUAUAUCUGUCACAGUAGUGGGUUUUGUUGUUGAAUGAAACCUGACCUUGUCCACAGAGAGAGACUUUUCAGACUAUCUCUGUAGAUCUCCAUGGUUUCUGCAGUAAUCUCCCUUGUCCUUCAGUGUCCCAAGCUGCCAUCAUCUGAGUAUUCUGACACGUCUCUCCUGAAGGAGUUUCUUCAGGGCGUCACUUGUUCUACGUGGAAGUCCUUAUGGGAGAGCCCAUACCUCCCUGUGCUGCUCAUCAGAAGCACUGCUAGAUGAAUGUAAACAUUUUGCUGAUUGCUUACAGACUGUAUCUGGCAUGAAAAUAAUAAUGCUUGGCUUUAAAUUUCCAUUUCCAUUUGCACUCCUCAGGUUUACUCUAGCCAUCAGAUUUCUGUAAAGUUAGCUGGAAAUCAUUAUCCUCUAGAAUUCUUUAUUAGAAGACCUGAGUGUCUAUGCAAUGUCCGAAUAAAUUCUUUAAUAAACAUGCUUCACAAAAGCUAUACGUGGUUUUUCAAUGUGUUACUCAAUUAUGAAAUCUCCAGAGAAGUUACACUUCCCCUUUAAAACCUUUUUUGGAGCCAUUAAUCCUUUCCCCCACCUAACUAGGGAUGUGUUUCUGCUUACAUGCCUGAUCUCUAAGGCCAGUACUAAUGGUAAAUUGUUUAUAUCUUGAGUACAUUGUUGUUUUUAGAUGACCAGUAUCUGUUAGUGCAGUGCUCUGCAUGCUUAAGAUAUAUAAUAUGGUAAAAAAAAAAAAGUGCCUUUUUUGUCAUGUUAAAGGGGAGAGUGUUAAAUCUUGGGAGAAAAUGGAGAGGAGAUCCAUUUUCACUGACCGCUGCUCUCUCUAAAAGGUCUUUUGUGAGUGGUUUUUCCUUCUUGUUGCUCCUGGGUGUUAAGUUUUUGUUAUUUCAAACAUGUAUGUGAUUUACACUUCGGGAAAUGGAGCAAGCCACUGUUGGAAAUAAAGGAGAAGGGAGUGCCUGUUUCCCCUACUGAGAAAUAGGCUUUUUUUUCUUCUUCUUGAAAACCAGUAUUAGCUUAUUAGUGUGAAUUUGCAGACCGAAUGCCUUCAGCAAAAGAAAUUUACUGGAACUUAAGCCCUGCACAUUUGCUGUCUUUUAUGUUUGAGACAAAAUAGAACCUUGUUUUUAGUUUAAUCCGGCAGCAUUUAUUUUCUUUAUAUUUUUUAAAUUUUGUAAGAUUCCCCCCAACUUUUCAUGUUCUAUUCUGCUUGAUAUGAGUUUUUGUGGUGGUGGUGGUAAAUGCACUUGUUGGUCUGUUGAUAUCUUUAAUAAGUCUCAUUGCCUGUCACUGGAUUGGGCCUUUAUUCCACUUUUAUUAUUGUAAUGAAUAGUCGUGCUUAACAUUAGAUUUUAUUGGGACUUAGAACCAUUUUCUAUUUUAUUAAUUUAGAAAAUCAUUUUGGGGAAUCAUGAGGUUUCAGGAGCUGCAGAUACGCUUUUGGCCCUUGUAGGUUGCAGUCUUGUAACAUAAUAUUAAAUGAUUAGAUAAUUUUUUUAACACACGUGCAGUCUCACUAGCUGAGUGACUGUUAUAUAUGUGGUUAUUUUAUUAGUUUGUUUAUGGGGCAUGUAGGGAUUAACUACGAGUGUUUGGCAUGUUGAAUUGCUGUUCGGUUUCAUUCCUAGUGAGUGAAGCAAAUUCUUAUUUGUAUCCUUAGUCCCAAUGAUACAUUUUGUAAAGGUUAUUGUGCUGUGCUUCCUGUACUUGCUCUCCUGUGGGAUUUGUAGGUGUAAGCAACCAACCGCUGGGUUUACUGUUAAGGAAGCUCAUCUGAAAUGCCUUUUGUAAUAGCAAUCAGCAUUCUCUCAUUUAGAAGUAGAUACAAGCCCAAGUCAUAUGCACUAUUAAAGGCAAAAAACUAGCAUGACCAGUCACAAGCUCUAAUAUGUGUACAGAUUCUCAACGUCAUGAUAGUUGCAAACAGAAAUAUGGAACGUUUAAAUAAUGUUUGUUUGUGUUUUUAAAAAAAUCUGAAAAUAAAAGAAUGAAUAGUAUGAUCCAGAUUGAGGUAUGUCUUCAGUCAAGUAAGAGCUAGAUCUAAUAAUAGCUUUGAAAGUGCACAGACUUACAAUAUUUAUUCAUUCUAAACUCCUACUAUCUUACCCACUAUAGCCUUCUAUAGUGGUUUUGGUGGUAGUAGCAACAUGGCACUGUUCCACGGCAAUGGGGCAAAGCAUUUUACAACAGUUUAUCCUCCCUUGCUGUCUUAAGACAUCUGGGUUCUGCAGAGAGGCAGUAUCCUAAUGCCGACCCUCCCUAGAACUUCACCUGACUGCUUUCAGCCAAUGAAUGACAUUCUGUGUGUAGAAAUAUGCACAAAAUAAGCAUUUGCCAGACCAGAGCUCUUGUCCUGGACUGGCUAAUGAUGCCUAAAUGAAGCUGCCAGAGUUAGAGAUACACCUCCUGUAGCAAAGAGGUUAAACUUGGCAUGUGCAGCAUCCAAGCACAUGAUCACUUUAAAUCACUGAAAUGGUCAUGGUGCUUGUAGUAACCCUUUAACACACCUGAUGUUUUGUUUUCUGUUUUUGCAUUUUAUCAACAGAAAGGUACUUGUUUGACAAGUGAUUCCUUAUGGUGAUCACUUAUGGUACAGGAAUACCCCAAUAGAUUUGCUUCUCAUUUUAGAACUGCAAUCUGAUUGGCUCUGAUAAACCACGCAGUGAAGUAUGCAUUUUGGUUUUUACUCUUUGAGGAUAGCUUAUUCAUUUCCCUUUGCUUUCUCUUUCAUGCAGGUUUCCAUUUGAGUGGCACAGUGACAGAGCCUGCAAUGCAGUCAGAGCCAGAAAUUGUUUGCAAUGUAGCCAUCAGCUUUGAUCGUUGCAAGAUUACCUCAGUGACCUGCAGCUGUGGAAACAAGGACAUCUUUUAUUGUGCUCAUGUCGUUGCACUCUCAUUAUACCGCAUCCGCAAGCCGGACCAGGUGAAACUACAUCUUCCUAUUUCAGAGACCCUCUUUCAAAUGAACAGAGACCAGCUGCAGAAAUUUGUACAGUAUUUGAUCACAGUUCACCACACAGAGGUCUUGCCUACCGCUCAGAAACUAGCAGAUGAAAUUCUGUCACAGAACUCUGAAAUAAAUCAAGUUCAUGGUG
rnacentral:lncRNA from 1 species